rnacentral:rRNA from 1 species
AAACGACUCUCGGCAACGGAUAUCUCGGCUCACGCAUCGAUGAAGAACGUAGCAAAAUGCGAUACUUGGUGUGAAUUGCAGAAUCCCGUGAACCAUCUAGUUUUUGAACGCAAGUUGCGCCCGAAGCCUUUCGGCCGAGGGCACGUCUGCCUGGGCGUCACGCA